UAGAACACAUAAAAUAAAUAACAUUUUAAAUAAAAUUCGUUCUUAAAUUCCAGCCAAAAGGCGGUUAGAAGGGCUUUGAAUAUUUUUUAAAUAACAUGGACUCUCUUUCACUAACUAAUAACAAUUGAAAUGGUCAAAGACUAAUUUAAUAGUCGAUUAUUUGCUUUUUUGAAAUCUCCAAACUACGGUGCGCCCUUUCUAAUGCCGCGUCUGCCAUCGUCUUUGACACACGAGCAGUAGUGCUAACCCGGUCAGUAGUGAUGUCACAGGAAGUUGUAUGAAGACUUGGUUACCAUAACAACACGCCAACGGAGCUUGAAAGUGGAAAACAAAGAAAAAUAACAAGUUUCUAUUCCAAUCUCUGGUUACGACGAGUGUUUUAAAUCAAGUUUACGCACGAUCCAAUCAGUCGAGUAUUAAGAUCAUUGUUUAGCAGCCCUUAAAUCCACCAGAGCUCCACGCCCCGUUCUGACUCGUGUCAGGAGGAGAGUCUUCUUUGGUUAAGAUGCUCUUCAGCUCAGCGAUCAGAGCUCCUGAAUACACAUCCCUCUCCUCCCAGAUGGGUUGAAUAAAGGAUUGACAUUACCUGACCAGCAGGAAGGCGUCUGGAAGCAGCUCCGCAAACGCCGUCCGGUAAACGAUGGCGUUUUUCCUCUUGCAGUUCUGAAUGACGUCGUUGGCGAGAUACAGCAGGUUCAGGCGGUGAGACGAAUCAGCUGUUGGAAGGGGGGGGGCAUUCAGUCAGUCAUCAAUGAUCUUUAGGAAUCAGAAACGACUUUGAGGAAAAACGGAAAAUAACCUUUAAUGGAAAAUUACUACUAAUAAAAGAAAAAA